CUGGCAAAUUGCUGUAAACUAAACAUGGCCGCGCUCCUGGUAACUCAUCCAUGUGCGCGGCUGUGAAAACGUUGCCGGCUGACGGUUGUCGUACCACUUGUUUUCUUGCUGUCAUGAAAUGCGACUUCAUCGAGAGAUCCUUGUUACGAAGAGAACUUUGUGAUACGUGAUCAACAUGGAGUGUUUGUUGUCGAGGACACACAUUAUAGCGGCGACAUUCUGGGGUAACACCAUUCUUGUAGGGGAAGGUGACCGAGUGUAUGCCUACUGCCUGGAGACCUUGAACCAGGUGGGAUUCCAGACAGCAUUCACCACCAGCAAUGUGCAUGGCAUACGCGUUGUGGGCAAGUCUCUUGCGACAUGCGCUGUGUUUGGCUCUCGUUUCCUGACAAUCAUGACUGCUGAGGUGUCUCCCUCGUCAUCAGUGGUGUUCAAGGUUGUCCUGCAGCCCGUGAUGUUCGAUGAUUGGAUCUGGGAUGUGGCGUGGCUGCAACCAGAAGUGGGCCCCCUGGUCCCAGGCACCAGUUUCACGACGCUGGCGCUCUGCUUUGGACACAACCGUGUGGCCCACUGGGACUGGCAGGCCAAGCAGACACUCACUGUCACUUCCUGUAGCGACUACUGCUUACUAUACACUGCGCAAUUGGUUGGUGCUUCCUGGAAGCAGCUGAUUGCUGUGGUGGGCACGGUAUAUCGGGAAGUGCUUCUCUGGGUGCCAUCCCAACCUUCACCUGCACCUGUUCUUCACAGACUCACUGGUCACCAAGGCGUGAUCUUCUCGGUGAGCUUCCAUGUGCCACAGCGGCUACUGUGCUCCACGUCAGACGACCGGUCACUGCGUGUCUACCGGUUCCACGAGGCUGGUGGGUCGAGCAGCACCUUACCAGAACGGGCGGGAACCAGCAGUGCCAACACAAACUCGGGCACCACUUCCCUGGUGCCCUUCGGGCCUGCCCAGCUGGCCAGUGGGUGGUUCAGCUCAGUGCAUUCACUGUACGGCCACGAGUCACGUGUGUGGCGGGCUGCCAUCUUGCGGAGCUGCUAUCUCAGCGUUGGCGAGGAUGGCCACAUCUGUUUCUGGGGUUGCCCAGGAAACCUCAUCAACCGAAUGACGGCACCAGGGGGUGGCAGCAUUUGGUGCCUCGCUGUCAAUGAAGAUGAGACGCUUGCGGUAACAGGGAGCAGUGGAUCAGCACUGAGCUUGUGGCACAUCCCGGAGGUGGUGAUUCAGUCAAGCAAGACCACUUGGAUCGAGGCAUUCAAGGAUGGCGGAGAUUUUCCACGUAAUCUUGCCAUCCUCAACACAUGUGGAACCAUGUCCCUCGUUGUGUCCACCAAUGAAGGGCGGCUACUUCGAUGGUCCCUGGGUGGACCUGCAGGUGGCAAGCGGGAAGAACUGUUCCGGCGGGACUAUCUUGCAUCCUACAGUGUGCUAGCUGUCUCUCCGAACCGUAGUUACCUUGCCCUCGGAGGAAUGCGGGGGCAUGUGGCCAUCAUUCGAUGUGGACCUGGCCCGGCUGUGACGCUGUGCUCCGAGUGGCAGCUGCAUGAGGGCCGAGUACACAGCAUUCGAUGGGUCUCUGAUGAUCCACCCGCCUACCUCAGUAGUGGGCCAAAUGGAGUCAUGGUUUUAUCACGAGUCCCAGAAGAGGUCUCCGGGGAGGACCCUGAAAGCGUGGACCUGUAUGCCACAUGUACGCUCCCACGUGGCAGGCAGCGCUGGGCAACGGCAGCCCUCUUUUGCUCCAACUUGGAGACCCUGUACGUUGGAGACCGCUGUGGAUCCAUCCAUGGCUUCUACGUCGACGAGGACGAGGACCUCAUAGAGCCAUUUCGGUCGUACGCGAGCAUCCAUGGCAACAAUGGUGUCACAGAUAUUCAGCAGCAGAGUGAGACACUGGUGACUGCGGGACGAGAUGGGCGAGUGCUGCUCUACUCUUUGAAAGAUCGGGACCUGCGUUACUUGCGUGUCUUCUGGAGCUCGACGACGCUUGAAUGGAUCGGCCACAUGAUACUGCAAAGCAAUGGCCUCCUGCUGUGUGGAUAUCACAUGAGUGACUUCGUGCUGUGGAGUACGUGGCAGCAGCGGGCGGUGUUCCAGCUGAACUGUGGUGGUGGUCACCGAUCCUGGGACUUUGCCAUGAGUUCCCACGAAGGCCUCUUUGCUUGCUUGAAGACUGGCCGCAUCAUGGUGCAGCGCUGCGGGCUCAAGGAGAUGCUACAUCGGUCGUGCAUACGGGCACCUCUGCACAGGAAAAAGAUAUCAGCCAUCUGCCUUCUUUUUACAGAAGAGAAUGCUUCUGGGGUUUCCCAGAGCUAUAUUGCCACGGCUGGUGAAGACAAUGUCAUCACGAUAUCACAGCUGUAUCAGGAGCACACACAUUUAGUGCAGCGUGUGGCAUGCCGCUUGUAUGGCCACAUAUCAUCAGUCAAGGCACUGGCUUGCUGUCGACCCUCAAACUUACCUGGCCGUGAGGAGAGGCUGCUAGCCUCUGUGGGAGGUCGCGCUCAGCUGUGCCUCUGGCGAAUCAAUGCCUCCCGACAGUGUAGCAUGAUGAGUGAAGAGCUGCACGACCACCGUUUGUGGUCCUUGGAUCGACAGCAGCGAAAUGCUCAUCGCUUUCCAUCUGCGGACCCGCUUGCACGAUACUUGGAUGUCUGUGUGUGGGAGCAUGCGGCCUCUGAAUUCCGUGUUGCCACAGCUGCCUCUGAUGCCUUAAUACGGUCAGCACUGCCUGUUUCGGGUUCUGCGCACCCAACUUCCACAGCCAUCAAAUCAGCAGCUCACUCCACCCCAGCGCCAUCAGCUACAACAGUCAUCGGUGCUAUUGUCUUCUGGCAACGAUGGUCUCCUUCGUUUCUGGAAGUUGGAGGGUUCGAAAUGUGACCUGAUUGCAGUCUUCCGCCGGCACCAGUCUGGCAUAAACGCCCUUGAUGUGUAUGCAAUGCAAGACAGGAUGCUGCUCGUGGUGACAGGUGGCGAUGACAAUGCAUUGGUUCUGACUAACUACCUCAUUACCGAGGACAACUCGGUGGUAGUCUUGGAAGAACAGAUCCUGAACAGUGCACACGCUACACAGAUCACUG
rnacentral:misc_RNA from 1 species